ensembl:lncRNA NR2F1-AS1 NR2F1 antisense RNA 1
CACAGCCGAGUCCCUCCUCCCCUCCCCGCAGGCAGCCUGUGCCUUUUCUCCAAACGAAGACAGCACUUUGAAAAUUCUUUCAAUGGAUUUUUUUUUCCUUGAAAGAUCGUACUGGGGGAAAAUGAUACUUCUAUUAGUUACAUAUUCUCCAAUCGCAUACUCGCACCCCCCUCGUUUUGAGAUCGCUCCCCUAGGCAGGCUCAGGCGGGCGCGGAGCCGCGCGGAGUGACAAAGCCGCCGCUGCCGCCGCCGGGGGUGGGAGCCGCGCUCGCCCGCCCGCCCCUCGACUCGCGAGGGCGUAAAAGUUUGUCUCAGCUCGAGCAUUCCUAGCGCCAACACGCCCUCAGGUAAAGGUGGAAGUAAAUGGCCACGCUGUAUUGACAGAGGUAGGGUUUGUUUUUUAAUACUCGUUCUCACUUUAAGUCUCACCAGGGAGGGGUUUGGGAAGCACUGCGUGUUUGGGGGACGUUUUGCGCUUCCUGGUCUCUCCAGCCUACAAGUCGGGAGUCGGCGACCGCUUAGUGACGAGCGAUGAUUUUAAAGAGCAGAAUAAAAGGUUUUCCCGUGCCUGCCCCACAGCCCCUCCAGCUCGAAUAAUGGAGAACUGUCAAUGCACUCCGCGAGCGGUGGCCCAUUGUACGCAGCUGAUGGCGAGGAGGCGACUGGGGGUAGCAGGGGCUCCUUGCCCUCGUCCCUAUGCCCAAAUAAACGCGCAAACGCGCUCCCGUCUUCUGGUCAGUUAAAAGGUGAAACGAACACGAUUAAAAUAGACCAAAAGAAAAGAAAGAAAAGAAAACCUUUCUAUGUACAGAUUCUAAAUCGUACUCCCCAUACAGUCAGAGGCAGGGAGUCGAGGGCAGAGGCAGCAGGCGGAGAGAGGGAGAUAGGGCGAGGGAAGGAGAACGCGGAGAGAGACGAAGGGAGUGGGAGACCAGCGACAGCGAGCGCCAGGGCACCGCAGGCACACUGGAUGCCCAGUCCGCCGGCCCAGCCGCCCUCGGACCCUGGACCGUGCGUCGUGGGCACCAGAAACGAGACUCGGCCAAAUCCUGCCUCACCAGCAGGUAGAUGAAACUCAAGAGAAAAGGUGUGGAUAAAUGAAACUAGCCCAUGAUGAACCUGUUUUCUCCGUGACCACAAUAUUAACCAGGAUGAAUGGCGGUGGCAGUGGGCCUGCAUCACAGGUUGCAGCAGAUGUUCUCAAUAUUUCUAUUAAAAUUUCCUUAUUUCCAUAUGCAAGAGGAGCCCCAGAGCUGCAUCCUUAUGGUAGCUACCAUGCCGUGAUGUAAGCUGCCAUUCACUGGGGAGCUUUGGCAAUAGAAUUGGCUAGAUCAGGAAGCCUAUGUCAACUAUGGAACAACAACUUGCAGCUCAUCUCUAUUGAUGAUACACUGCCUCUAGGACUGGGACAGAUAGCCACUGAGUACCUGCUUCAAAUCACCCUGCACGUUUUCUCUUUGGAAAGAUAAGCACUGGAGAACCAUCUCGUUACCUUCAGCAGAAAUGGAAACAAAUCAAGACAUUAAGAAUGCCGCAGUGGACAGCAGUUAUGCAAGGUUCAGCAGAGGAAGUUUUCAAGAUGGUGUGCCUCACUAGCCAGAAAUCAGAAAAGAUCGAAGCUAGCCUUUUCAUCUCAGCUGCUCCUUAAAUCAGUGCAACCCCUCCAAAUUAAUGUGAAUUGAAACUUGCAUUGCUUUUCAACUUAAUUGAAUACUUACUAUAUGUGAACCACUGCACAAAAUAGGGGAAGAAGAUGUGGGAGACAAAGAUGUGGAGCCUGUCUUCAAUAAAUUUACAGUUAGUUUCAGGGUACAUUGUUUUUCUUCUGCUGUUAAUUAGGUGUAUCCCCAAGACAAUAAAUACAUGAAUGGAAAAGUAUAUUCUGUGUUUUAAGUCUCUUUAAUAAAAAACAAAACAAAAUCCAAAAAAACUCCUAACAUGGCAACUCAGGACAUUUUAAUCCUUUUUUUUGUUGUUGGGCUUCUGAUAGGAUCCAUUUUAUUGAUUCCAUAAAUAUUUAGUAGACUUUAGACAUAUUAAUACAUUGUAGUUUGAGUUAAUUUGCAUUAAAUUCUGUUUUUUUCCCCUUAGGUAUAGAUUGUCUGUUGGAAAAAUAUAUUGCUUGUGGAUUUCUUGGGGAGUGGGAAGGUGAAUUAUACCUGUUGUCUCUACAGUCCACUACCUUCCACACCCUAGGGCAGUGGUCCCCAACCUUCUUGGCACCAGGGAUCAGUUUCCUGGAAGACAAUUUUUCUGUGGAUGGUGUGGGGAUGGUUUUGGGAUGGAACUGUUCCACCUCAGAUCAUCAGGCAUUAGUUAGGCUCUCAUAACGAGUGCGCAGCCUAGAUCCCUCACAUGCACAGUUCACAGUAGGGUUUGCGCUGCUAUGAGAAUCUAAGGCUGCCACUGAUCUGACAGGAGGCAGAACUCAGGUGGCAAUGCUUACUGGCCCACUGCUCACCUCUUGCUGUGCGGCCUGGUUCCUAAUAGGCCAUGGACCCCCACAGACGGGUACUAGUCUGCAGCCUGUGGACCCCAGCCCUAGGGGCCUGCCAUUCUGAGUGAGUUAUUAGCAUGAAGAAGAGGAAGAUCUGGAUCAAACGUGGGUGAUGGUACUCAGAGACCCAAGAUAGGAUAGGGAUGGAACAAAAUCCAUCUGGGCAACGGCUCUAUGAAAAUUUGGCUAAGUAAUUAUUUCAGUAUUCAUUGUAUUCAUUGUCCUUCGUGUUCCAUAAGUUAAAUGACUGUCUAAUUUUUCCAAAAAUUUAUUUCUGACUUGAGAAUAAGUGUGUCAUGAUUUUCCCAGUGUAAAGACACUGAUAUAACUGUAGAUACCAGACAUUUUAUGUAGUGUCUAUGACACAUUUUAGUAUGUAUGAGCCAACAAUAGACAUGUCUUUGUCUUGAGGAGUGUCCAUCUGAAUUGAAAAUGUGUCAGCUUUUUUUUAACAUCAUCAACAGACUUCUUAAUUAAGCUGCCAAUACAUACUGCCAAUAGCACUGUGUGCUGUCUGAGAAAUGCAUUGUGUAAGUGCUAUUUCCAUCUUAUUAAAUAAACAAUGUUGCUCUGUAUAAACUGGAUUUAAAGUGUUCUUUGAAUGAGGCAUUAUAUUGCUCCAUAAAUAAUGUGAUGUGAAUUCUCAUAUGAUCCCUUUUAACUUAAUUUCUAAAAAAAUAUUAUUUGCUCCUCAGUAAGGAAUAGCUCUAAUUGGACUGGUAACUUUAGUGAUAUGAUUUGUCUGUAACAGGCUGAAUCGCCCCACUCCCAAACUCCUGGUCGUGAUACUGGAUAUUUGUUAUGCCACUUUUAGUUUGCAUGAGGUAUCUUCCAGGAAGUAUUAGUUAUUAACUUGUGUUCUACUAAACUGUAGAUAUUUAUUUCCUGUUCUGGAAGAUUUCUUGGAGUGUCCAUCUGUGCAUUCCUGGUGCCUAGUGUAGUCUUGCUAAUGGAAUAGCACCUUUAUUGGUGCUACUUAGGGGUUGGUAGCUUACAAUCAAUCUACUUGGAACGUAUCCAAAUAAACUGGAUA